rnacentral:lncRNA from 1 species
CUUUCAGGAUUCCUGGGCUGGGGACAGGGAGAGGAAGAAGAGAAAGAUCCGCCAUGCUGGAAAAAGGAGAACUAAGAUGCCACACCCGAGAAGCUCAGGACAGAGAACAUAGCCGCCAUAUUGGAGUAAGGGGAUCCCAGCCCAAGAUGGUCUGGGUAUAGGGCAGCAAAGAUGGAAAACAGUUAGGGACUCCAUCCAAUAAAGGCAAAUAAAGAGAGCCUGAAAGUAUAGCUUGGCACCUACGCAGCAAGCCACUCCUGUCUACAGUGCUCAUGAACCUUCCAGAAUCAUGGAGAAGACCUGCCGUGCAUGGCCCUUAUUGCAAGUUUGCUUCUGCCACAUCUGGGUCUCCCGAGGUCGGAGAGGAUCGUCUUUAAUAUUCCUUGGUAGAUUCCAGGAGCAGCCCCCAUCCAUGGUUUGGAGGACUCGACCCUAUGGAGCGCCCUGGCCUGGAGGUGUGCAGGUUAGAAGGAACCCCAGCUGUGGCACCUCACUAUCCUUCUCUUUCCCGACCCGUUCAAAAAUAAAAAAAUAAACCCCAAU